rnacentral:rRNA from 1 species
GGGGGGGGGGGGGGGGGGGGGGGGGGGGGGGGGGGGGGGGGGGGGGGCGGGGCGGGGGGGGGGGGGUCGAGUGGGGAACGGGUGGGGGGGACGGGGGGAACCUGCCCUUGACUUUGGGAUGACUUCAGGAAACUGGGGCUAAUACCGGAUAGGAGCUCCUGCUGCAUGGUGGGGGUUGGAAAGUUUCGGCGGUUGGGGAUGGACUCGCGGCUUAUCAGCUUGUUGGUGGGGUAGUGGCUUACCAAGGCUUUGACGGGUAGCCGGCCUGAGAGGGUGACCGGCCACAUUGGGACUGAGAUACGGCCCAGACUCCUACGGGAGGCAGCAGUGGGGAAUAUUGCACAAUGGGCGGAAGCCUGAUGCAGCAACGCCGCGUGCGGGAUGACGGCCUUCGGGUUGUAAACCGCUUUCGCCUGUGACGAAGCGUGAGUGACGGUAAUGGGUAAAGAAGCACCGGCUAACUACGUG